UUCUGCUGUGAAACUGUGGGCAGUUUUACAUUUCAUCAAAGCUCAAAAGAAGAGAGCACUAAUGAGGAUGAUAAGCUUUUCUAUUUCUUUAUCUCUUAUGUAAGAUCCAGAUCACAGGGCAGGAAGGAAACAAAAUUAAGUAAUAUUUUAUUCUGUUAUUUGCAUAGUUUAGUAGUUAAGGAACUGACCUACUCAACCUUUGUUUCAGAUAUUACUCCUGCUGUGAAUUCAGCACGUGGCCUUCAGGCAACCAACUUUCCCAGCUUCCACUAGAGAAAUAAGAUCCACUUGGAACAUGCGGUCCAUGCCAGAAGGUGGGGAUGGGGUCCUCACGAUAAUACUUCCACCUUUGUUUAGAUCAUGAGCCAUACCUGGUGGUAGUGCUCAUUUUCCUUACCAGGUAGCAGCAGCACUUCUUCUGCAGAGCUGGCCAGACAUCGUGUGAACCUUGUGCAGGGGGUUCAGCGGGUGAGUAUGUUUUAUUUAGACUGUGUAGACAUGGUUAUUUUGUUUCCUGGAAAAGUCAACAUUCAAUAUCCUCAUCUCCUCUCUCUCCUCUGCUGAGUUAACUGUGUGCUAACUACUUUUGCUCUUUGAACUCACUUCAUCAUUUCAGCAAUGGUAGUAAGUUGAGAGCAAAAGGGGAAAGUGGAAGGAGGACAUUCGAAAAGCAUCUGAAAAAGCGAGGCGGAGAUGCUUAGUCAGAACAGUUCCUGGCAAAUCAGGGAGUUUGGAGAGUAUGCACCAACAGUUUCGGGAUAAUGGUGACUGCACAGAUGCCAAUUUGUGCAAUUCAUGCCCAAGCAAGCUUUUUGUUUUAACACCAAAAGAACGUGUCCAGUUGUGUUGCCUCAAAGCUUCAAAGAACAGCCGUUUAGCUUUUAUAUAAAUGGCAGAACAGAAGUGGAUUUUUGUUUCUUUGCAUUUUCUAAAAAUCCAUGCACUUUCUGAAUAAUUCAGAAUAACUGGCCACUGGAUGUGACCAAUUUCCCACCACUGUUAUAAAUAUUUCAUUGAGCUCAAUAGAAUUCACUUCAAAGUAGAUACAAAUAGGGCCCCAUAUCCUUUUUCUGCCUCUAUUUGCACAGAUGUUGAUUGUUGUGUCCAUCCUUCUUCCUUGAACUGUUCUCAUUAUCUACAAGUUUAAGAGGUCAGACCAGGCCUUCAAUCUCAGAGGUUGUUUUGUUUGCAUUUUCAAGUGACAUCUGCUUGGGGGAAGAUCAGCUGCAUGCCCCAGCAACCAGAAAGGGCAUUUUUUUAAAGAGAGAAGGGAUAAAACCUCCAGAGGCAUCCUCCUAAUCUCAAAAAUCUUGUUUGCCAGUACAUCAGAGCAAAGAUUAGCUUUGUUUGCUCAAGAAACAAAACAGUCUAUAGCAGACGUUCCAGGCUGGUGUUUCUGGCUUAAUAUCCCUUUUACAAAACAAGGCUAAGAGUUUAUUUGGUCACGGUAUGUUAUAUGUAGAUUUUGAGACUAAAACAGGAAUUGUUUCACUCUUCUUCUACUUUUGUUGAUCAGCUAGUUUUACACAUAUUGCUGUCCCCAUACUUCUUUCAGAUAAGAUUACUUUCUUCUCAGUCUUACAUCCUCACAGAAGAGCAAGUAAGCCAUGAAUUGGAAUCAAUGUGCAUUUUUAUUAGAGCGGAGUUUGGUGGGAAAAGUAAAUAAACAAUAUCUCUAUUGUUCAUAUUAUUGUGUGCCUUCACGUUGUUUCUGACCUAUGGCGACCCUAAGGCAAACCCGUCACAGGGUUUGAGAAGAGGUUUGCCAUUACUGCCCUCUGAGGUUGAGAGAGUGUGAUUUGUCCAAAGUCUUGCAGUGGAUUUCAUGACUCAGCGGGACUUCAAAAGCUGGUUUCCAAAAUCAUUGGAUAAUGCUCAAGCAACUGCACCAUCACAUCAUCAUGCAUUUUCAUAGUGUUUGCAUUAUCACAGCAAAAAAAUGGAGGAUCUGUUCAAAGAUACUUUUUAUCUUGUACUGACUUCAAUCAUAGUUUUGUUCAUGUUAUUUUGGCUAAAAAGAUAUAAAUCCAUCAACCAGGAAAGGAAAACAUGUGGCUGCCAAGAGCUCUCUGGAGAAUUCUUGGCAAUUGAGUGUCUCUGCCUCGGCCCCCCUCCUUCCUCCACAUCCACAGGCUGAGAAGAGAUCCAAGGAAGAAGAGGGACGGAGGAAAAAGCCCAAGGGGCCGUGGGUUUGCCCAUGCCUACACUAUCUGGAGCAUUAUUCUACCACUGGUCAGCUAAGGAUAGCUUUGACAUUUUGUGAUAUAUUAUUCUCAGCCUCUUUGUUUGUUUCUUUUUUUUUAAGAAAAAGUCUUUAUUGUAAAGAUAAGGGAAAUAUUCCACUGCUAUUCAAAAAACCAUGCAUGUCCAAGUUCUUAUCUUGAAGUGGAACUGCCAAGAUCAAACUAUACAAGAAAUGCUGAGUAUCUCCAAGAACAAUGAUUGAAGAAUGAAGAACUUCCUCCAGUAUCAGAAGGAAAUUUUCACAAGCCACCCAGCUCUCCUGGGAAAACCAGAAUGAGGGAACCAGCAACCAAAUGUGCAACAGCAUGACAGGGCAAGACUGUAAGAGCAGGCUAAGCAAAGGUCCACUCACUUCAGUUUUGAACUCUUAUUUGGCAAUUCAGAUUGGGCCCCUAUUUGAUUCAGACCUAGUUUAACACACUGCAGAUCCUAAAUCCCAAAUGAGACUUCGAGAUCUAAAUAUGUGGGUCUCCUGUUAAUGUACACUGGGAAAACAAAACAGAAUGUUGGUGAAAUUCUGUCCAAAGAGUGGAAGUGAAAAUUUGAAUCAACCCGACUGGAAAGAAGGAAUUGUCCUUAGCAGCUAAGCUCUAUCAAACAUUAAUGGAAUGGAGACGGAAUUUAUUUCCAGCAAGUGUGUGUUGCUUCUGUUCCUUUUGUGUUCCACUAUGUUAAUCAUCAGGAUAAGACUUUCCCAAAGGCAUCCGAUCCUGCCCAAUUUUAGAAGCUAAACAGGGUCAACUCUGGUUCAUACUUGGAUAAGAGAUUGCCAACAAAUACUAGGUGAUAUAGGUUAUGUUUCAGAGGAAGGAACUGGCAAAAAACAUCUCUGAGUAUUCCCUACCUAAGAAAAUCCUAUGAAAUUCAUGGGGCUGACAGAAGUCAACACACAACGUAAGGAGCCAUGCACAUAAGACUCUCGUUUUCCGUUUUAAAAAUAUAUCUUUCUUCAUUCUCCCUCUUUUGCAAUGCAUACUUCACCUCUCUAUCUCUGCCAAAACUGUGACCUUUAACUGAACUUAAAACUGUUUUCAGAAAAAUAAAUAGUUCUUCCUAAGGCCACAUUGUAAAGGUGAGGCGCUUUCAUCAGAUCUAUUCUCAAGCCAAGCAUUCUUCCUAAAAUAGCCCCAUUAAUUAAAAAAAAAAUCAACCCUUUGAAAAUGCCCUAGGCACAUUCUUUACCAUAAAUAAAUCUCAAUGUACACAGAUAUUCCCAUGUUAUCUUGGCAUUUUCACAGAAAGAAAGUAAUAUUGGAUAAUAGGCUAUUUCAGAUUUAUCUGGACCCCCUGGCUGCCGAUUCGAAUCCAACCCGGGGAGAGCGCGGAUGAGCUCCCUCUAUCAGCUCCAGGUCCAUGUGGGGACAUGAGAAAAGCCUCCCACAGAGAUGGUCAAAACAUCAAAACAUCCGGGCGUCCCCUGGGUAACAUCCUUGCAGAUGGCCAAUUCUCUCACACCAGAAGUGACCUGCAGUUUCUCAAAUCGCUCCUGACAUAAAAAAAAAAAAGGUUUUAUCUCAAUUGGACCAUUCAGAACCCUUCUGACUGGAAGAGGUCCCCUGCUACUUCCCAAAUCUUUCACAUUUAUUUUAAGGACUGUAUCCCACAAAGGUGGCAAAUUAGCAUCAAAGCAGGACUGCUGCCUUUAAUGAUAGUUUCUUUAGCAUGAUGCUGGGCUCAACCUGUUUCCAGUUGGCCACCUCUCCCUUGCUAUUCACAGAAAACCCAGGAAUGGUUUUGGCCCUUAUUGUUGGAAUUCAACAAUGUUAUACCUAAGAAAAUAGUUCUCAUGUUGGGAAAUGGAUAGAUCAGUAGGUAGGGUUGAGAGAGUUUGGUAGGGAAGCCCAUUGCUUGACUCAGCGUCUCUGUCUGACUGUCCUGCCCCCACCUUUGAUGUUUAGACAAAUAUUCUUAGAGCAAUUCCCUACUCAAGUUUCCAGGCCCCUUCCUGAAAUUUUCCAUUCCUUUGUUCUCCCAGAUCAAGCUUUGCCUAGUUAGAGGAAGGAUCCUCAGUCUCUUUACAAUUAGUUAUGUAGUUCUUUUGAAUAAAGCUUUUGAAACUUUAA